rnacentral:rRNA from 1 species
GACGAACGCUGGCGGCGUGCUUAACACAUGCAAGUCGAACGGUAAGGCCCUUCGGGGUACACGAGUGGCGAACGGGUGAGUAACACGUGGGUGAUCUGCCCUGCACUUCGGGAUAAGCCUGGGAAACUGGGUCUAAUACCGGAUAGGACCACUGCCUGCAUGGGUGGUGGUGGAAAGCUUUUGCGGUGUGGGAUGGGCCCGCGGCCUAUCAGCUUGUUGGUGGGGUGAUGGCCUACCAAGGCGACGACGGGUAGCCGGCCUGAGAGGGUGACCGGCCACACUGGGACUGAGAUACGGCCCAGACUCCUACGGGAGGCAGCAGUAGGGAAUAUUGCACAAUGGGCGCAAGCCUGAUGCAGCGACGCCGCGUGAGGGAUGACGGCCUUCGGGUUGUAAACCUCUUUCAGCACCGACGAAGCGCAAGUGACGGUAGGUGCAGAAGAAGGACCGGCCAACUACGCGCCAGCAGCCGCCGUAA